CGGUAGAGAUUCUUCGGAAUCUUGAGAGCGGCGCACGGGUGCGGAACACGUGUGCAACCUACCUUUAUCUGGGGGAUAGCCUUUCGAAAGGAAGAUUAAUACCCCAUAAUAUAUUGAAUGGCAUCAUUUAAUAUUGAAAACUCCGGUGGAUAGAGAUGGGCACGCGCAAGAUUAGAUAGUUGGUGAGGUAACGGCUCACCAAGUCAAUGAUCUUUAGGGGCCUGAGAGGGUGAUCCCCCACACUGGUACUGAGACACGGACCAGACUCC
rnacentral:rRNA from 1 species